rnacentral:rRNA from 1 species
UACGUAGGGGGCGAGCGUUGUCCGAAGUUACUGGGCGUAAAGCGCGCGUAGGCGGGAAAUUAAGUGAGAAGUGAAAGGCUGGGGCUCAACCUCAUGCAGUGCUUCUCAUACUGGUUUUCUUGAGGGCGGUAGAGAAAAGUGGAAUGGCUGGUGUAGCGGUGAAAUGCGCAGAUAUCAGGAGGAACACCAAUUGCGAAGGCAGCUCGCUGGAACGUAACUGACGCUGAGACGCGAAAGCGUGGGGAGCAAACAGG